CACUCGGUCCGACGUCGGUGGGUUAUCUGAACCCCCUCCCAUCGGCACCAACUUGACCGUUGU
rnacentral:sRNA from 1 species